GCCUGUAAAUGUUGAGUUAUGAAUUUUCUGUUAGAAAACUCUUUUAGCUUUAAUUGUGUAAUAUGUAUUAGUUCAUUGCUUGAUAUCAUUAGUUGUUAAAAACCAUCAAUUGUUAUUUUUGCUUACUGCGUUUGGCUAAAACACUUGGUCAGUUGCUCUUUGAAAAGGUUUUAACUUACUGGAAGUAGAUUACUUUGGUUUGGAAUGUGAGGAUGAAAAAGGAAAAAAGUAUUGGUUGGAUGUCCUCAAACCAUUAUGUUCACAGCUGCAUUCUUUUUUUCCAAGUAUGUAUUUUUGUGUUAAGUUUUACACUCCAGACCCUGUACAACUAGAGGAUGAAUUUACAAGGUAAU